GGCUCUGUAGCUCAAUUGUUUAGAGCGCCGCAUCGGAAUCGCAGAGCCGCAGGUUUGAUUCCUGCCAGAGUAU